rnacentral:rRNA from 1 species
GACGAACGCUGGCGGCGUGCUUAACACAUGCAAGUCGAACGGAAAGGCCCUGCUUUUGUGGGGUGCUCGAGUGGCGAACGGGUGAGUAACACGUGAGUAACCUGCCCUUGACUUUGGGAUAACUUCAGGAAACUGGGGCUAAUACCGGAUAGGAGCUCCUGCUGCAUGGUGGGUGUUGGAAAGUUUCGGCGGUUGGGGAUGGACUCGCGGCUUAUCAGCUUGUUGGUGGGGUAGUGGCUUACCAAGGCUUUGACGGGUAGCCGGCCUGAGAGGGUGACCGGCCACAUUGGGACUGAGAUACGGCACAGAGUCGUACGGGAGGCAGCAGUGGGGAAGAUUGCACAAUGGGCGGAAGCCUGAUGCAGCAACGCCGCGUGCGGGAUGACGGCCUUCGGGUUGUAAACCGCUUUCGCCUGUGACGAAGCGUGAGUGACGGUAAUGGGUAAAGAAGCACCGGCUAACUACGUG